rnacentral:rRNA from 1 species
AUUGAACGCUGGCGGCAGGCCUAACACAUGCAAGUCGAGCGGCAGCACGGGUACUUGUACCUGGUGGCGAGCGGCGGAUGGGUGAGUAAUGCCUAGGAAUCUGCCUGGUAGUGGGGGAUAACGCUCGGAAACGGACGCUAAUACCGCAUACGUCCUACGGGAGAAAGCAGGGGACCUUCGGGCCUUGCGCUAUCAGAUGAGCCUAGGUCGGAUUAGCUAGUUGGUGAGGUAAUGGCUCACCAAGGCGACGAUCCGUAACUGGUCUGAGAGGAUGAUCAGUCACACUGGAACUGAGACACGGCCCAGACUCCUACGGGAGGCAGCAGUGGGGAAUAUUGGACAAUGGGCGAAAGCCUGAUCCAGCCAUGCCGCGUGUGUGAAGAAGGUCUUCGGAUUGUAAAGCACUUUAAGUUGGGAGGAAGGGCAGUUACCUAAUACGUAUCUGUUUUGACGUUACCGACAGAAUAAGCACCGGCUAACUCUGUGCC